rnacentral:tRNA from 1 species
GCAUCCAUGGCUGAACGGUUAAAGCACCCAACUCAUAAUUGGCGAAUUUACAGGUUCAAAUCCUGUUGGAUGCA